rnacentral:rRNA from 1 species
AUUGAACGCUGGCGGCAGGCCUAACACAUGCAAGUCGAGCGGUAGAGAGGUGCUUGCAUCUCUUGAGAGCGGCGGACGGGUGAGUAAUGCCUAGGAAUCUGCCUGGUGGUGGGGGAUAACGUUCGGAAACGGACGCUAAUACCGCAUACGUCCUACGGGAGAAAGCGGGGGAUCUUCGGACCUCGCGCCAUUAGAUGAGCCUAGGUCGGAUUAGCUAGUUGGUGAGGUAAUGGCUCACCAAGGCGACGAUCUCUAGCUGGUUGGAGAGGAUGGUCAGCCACACUGGAACUGAGACACGGCCCAGACUCCUACGGGAGGCAGCAGUGGGGAAUUUUGGACAAUGGGGGCAACCCUGAUCCAGCCAUUCCGCGUGAGUGAAGAAGGCCUUCGGGUUGUAAAGCUCUUUCGGCAGGAACGAAACGGCGAGCUCUAACAUAGCUUGCUAAUGACGGUACCUGAAGAAGAAGCACCGGCUAACUACGUGCCAGCCGCCGCGGUAACAC